rnacentral:rRNA from 1 species
AAAGAUUAAGCCAUGCAUGUCUAAGUCCAAGCUGUGUUUGACACGGCGAGACCGCGGACGGCUCAUUAAAUCAGUCGUGGUCCAAAUGGGCCAGUGUUAUGCUUACUUGGAUAACUGUGGUAAUUCCAGAGCUAAUACAUGCAACCUAUAUCCCGAAGGCGGGCUUUACUCUUGUAGUGGGUCUGUUCUGACGGAUGCUUUUAUUAGACCAAACCGCUGAGGGUGUGGGUGUUACGCUUCGGCUAGCGCUCAUGCUUGACUCGCUUAAUGGUGACUCUGGAUAACCUUUUUGACAAGCGCACGUACCCAUCUUUAGACGGGACGGCGCUGCCACUUUCGAGUGUCUGCCUUAUCAGCUAUCAACCGUUCGUUAUGUGCGACCGAUGGCUUUGACGGGUAACGGGGAAUCAGGGUUCGAUUCCGGAGAGGCAGCCUGAGAGACGGCUACCACGUCCAAGGACGGCAGCAGGCACGCAAAUUACCCAAUCCCAGCAACUGGGGGAGGUAGUGACGAAAUCUAACGAUGCGGGCGCCCUUUUUGGGGCCCCGCAAUCGGAAUGGGCACUUUCUAAAUAACCUGUUGAGAACCUACUGAAGGGCAAGUCUGGUGCCAGCAGCCGCGGUAAUUCCAGCUUCAGCAGCAUCUAUUAAAGUUGCUGCGGUUAAAAGGCUCGCAGUUGAAUGUCAGUAUCGAGCGCAGGUCAGGUGGACGUUGGGGUGUGAGAGCUAAAGGUUCUGAUCUUGGUUCAGGCUUGCUUGUUCCUCGUGAAGUUCCUUCUCACAAACUCCCGUCCGUGACAAGCCUCCUCGCUUGCGUACAUAUCGGAAUCGGAUCAUGGAGUGUGCGCAGUGGUGUCCCUUGGGGCAUUGCUCGCACGUUAAGCUCCUUCGGUUUUAUGGUCACCUUGAGUAAAUCAGAGUGCUCAAAGCAGUCGUAGGGGCCUUGCGCCCUGUGAACAGUCUUGACGGACUGACUUGGUUUUGCAUGGCAUGUCGGAAGACGACGUCGUGUGCUGGCUCAGAGUAAUCAGUGGUAAAAGCCAGCCUCGACGUACUGAUUAAGAGGGACGGUCGAGGGCAUUGGUAUUGCGAGGCGAGAGGUGAAAUUCUAUGACCCCCGCAAGACCUCCUGAAGCGAAAGCGUCUGCCAAGGACGUUUUCAUUAAUCAUGAACCAAAGUUAGAGGAUCGAAGGCGAUCAGAUACCGCCCUAGUUCUAACCCUAAACGAUGCCAACCAUCAAUCCGCGCGUAGCACCCUUCUUAACGGGCUCGGCGGGCAGCUCCCCACUCACGGGAAACCAGAGUCUCUGGGUUCCGGG